rnacentral:lncRNA from 1 species
GUUGGUUUAUCAAGAAUCUCCCUACCCUUGAGGUCUCCUCUUAGUAAUUUUUCACCCACUCAUCUGCUCACUGGCUAUAAACUGCCACUUGUCUUUGCUGUAUUCAGAGUUGAGCCCAAUCUCUCUCCCACGUUGUGACAGUCGACACCUAUCGCAAUAGCCCUGAGUGAAGUCUUUCUUACCAUUUCAACAAGUGUCAGAAUAACUUCCUGUAACAAGAGGCAAUGUUGUAAAGAGGCUCUUCAAAUUAAUCUAUAAAUUCAAUGUUUUCCAAUCAAAAUCCUAAAGAAUUUUUAUGGAGUUUAUCUACCUUAUUCUUAAGAUUUCAGGAAAAAGUACAAAUACAAAAUUCUACAAGAUGAUUUCAUAAAAUAACAAGAAGUAAGUUGUCGUGCAUGUCUAAAGACUCUUUAAAGCUACUGGAAUUUAAAAAAUGUGUUCCUGGUGAGGGGCCAAACAAAUAAAUCAAUAGAAAACAACAGUUCAGAAAAAGUCCCAAGAAUAUACAAGAGUUUAUAAUCUGACGCAGAUUGCAUUUCAAAGCAGGAUGGAAACGAUAAACUAAUAUACGAAUGGUGUUGAGACAACUGGCUAUCCAUUUGAAAAUUUUAACACUUUAUAAUAAACAUAGACUCAAAUUCAAGAUGGAUUCAGAAUGAAACAUAAAUAGAAGUACACAUUUAUCAGAAAAAAAUCGUAAUAACAUCUGUAUAACUUAGAAUAUCUAAGUCUUUCUAAGCAAAACCCAAAACCCUGAAGCCAUAAAGGAAAAGACUGAACACUUUACAUAAAUUUAAGCCAUAAAUUUAAACUGUAUGAAGCAAAAAGCUCCAUAAACAAAAGAUUAAAAUAAGCAAUAUUCUGGAAGAAAAUUUCGCAAUAUGUAUUAUAACCUCCACUAUACAUAAAAAUAGCUCUAGCAAAAGACAAUCCAGUUAAAAGUUAGAAAAAAAUAUGAAUAAUUCAUAGAAAAUAUAUAAAUGGCAUUUUUUUUUCAGAAAGCCAAAUCAUACCAGAAAUCGGAAUCAAGGUAAUGCAAGAAAAUACAAGAUAACAAUGUAAACGAUUGGGGAAGGUCAUUUUUCACAUAAGAAUGCAGAGAGGUUAUCUCCCAUGCAUUGUUUCAUGGGAAGUUGCUUGAAAAUUAGGGUAAAAUACAACAAAUAUGAAGAUGUGGAAUAUAAGAAAUGAUGGGAUCAAACCAAGAGUUCAAGGACAAGAAAUCCCAGGUGAGAACAGAACAGUAGGCCUAGAAAGCAACUGGUCCCAACGAGAACAAGAAUUUGGUGAGCUCCAAAAACAUUGUAUUAAAAAAAAAAAAGGCUAAUGUGGAUCUUAAUAACACAUAGAAUUGAGGCAAAAGGCAGGAAGACAUUAAGGACUUGAUGUAGAGAAAAUAUACUUCUUCUAAGAAAAAAAAAAGAAAAACGGAGACUCCACUGAAAACAACAAAAAAACCUAAAUAAGAAAAUUGCAGUCCAAAAAUGAAGCACAUUAAAAUGUAGUGUGAAUUUUGAGCAACUGAUGGGAGUAUAAGAAGUAGAAUCUAUUUCUUCUCAACACGAGGAAUAUUUUAUUUUGUGUGGUAGGCGGAAUAACAAUUCAUUAAAGAGGUCCAUGCCCUGAUCCUUGGAAGCUGUGUAUAUGGUACCUUACAUGGCAAAAGGGACUUUACAGGUGUGAUUAAGAUUAUGGAACUUGAGAUGGAGAGAUUAUCCCGGAUUAUCCAGGUGGGCCCAACAUAAUCAUAUGAGUCCUCAAUAACAGAGAACAUUUACAGGCUACUGUCAGAGAGAAAACUGAUAAUGGAAGAAGGAUCAGAGAAAUGCAAUGGUCCCUGCUUUAAAAAUGGAGGAAGAUGACUAAUCUGCUCUCUGUUGGAGAGAGAAACGCCUUGUAAAUUGUGGUCCUCACCUAGAUCUAUGACUACAUUGUGGGAGCCUGCAAGGUUCACAGGGUCCUGGCACUUCCUGAGGUGGGGUCACCAUCAGAUUAAAAGCCUGACCUGGAAUGACCCGCCCCUGUGUCUAGACAGGAAAGAGUCCUCACACCUGGACAGGAACACCUAGGGAGCAAACAUCGCGGAAAUGAGCCAAGAUAAAUUCCGCUCUAGUUAACCCCUUUUCCCUGAAAAAAAAUCCCUUUUUAUGAAACAUUAGCCAAGGGUUGCUGUUUUGUCUGGGUCAUGGGGAAAAUUAUGCUAUUCUAGAAAGGAAAUGAAGUGGCAUUUCUUGGCAGCCAAUUUUGAAUUCUGCAUUUUAAAGCAUUCAAAGAGCUUCAGCAGCUGGCGGAAGAUAGAAACUUAUUUGAAGAGAGGAAUGAGAAACUCAUCAAAGAAUUACAACUCCUUGGGGGUAAUUUUGAUCAUAAAUAGGACAGAUGCCAUCUGUCUAGUAUGGCUCCUUCAUUCAUUCAUUUGUUCAUUCAGAAAUAUCAUUAGGCGUGUCUAUUGUGAGGGCCUUGUGUUAAGUACUCAUGACACAAAGAUGAUAAGACACAAAGAUGGGAUUCAGAUACAUGAAUAAAGAAAGUCAUGCGAGACAGGAACAAAAAGAAAUGCAUAAGCAAGGCACAGUGAUAGCCAAGAGGAAGGGCCGUGGAAAGGAUGAGGGGAAGGAGUCAGAGAACAUCUCAGCAAGGAAGUAAGCCCUGAGCUUUGGGUUGAAGGGCGGGUGGUCUCCAGGUAUAUCAGUAGGGAAGGACAUGCCAGUCAAAGGCAACAGCAAGUGUUAAACCACAUUAUGGAUUCAGGGAAGUGCAGUGAAUGUUCUGUGAUACUGGAACACCAGAUAGCAAUUAGAAAGUGGUCAGAAAUGAGGUUGGAGAGGCCAUGUGGGGUCAUAUCAUCAGUGGCAUGGAUCACCAUACUGAGGACUUAGAACUUCAUCCUGUAGGUUAUUGGAAACCAUUGAAGGAUGUGAAGUAGAAGUGAAAGAUGAUGUGAUCAUAGCCAUAUUUUAGAACUUAGACUUGAAGCAGGAAGAAGUUUGGGUCCUAAGAGAUGAGUAAAAAGAGUGUUAAAAUAAUCCAGUAAAGAGGCAAUCAAGGCCCCAAGUAAAGUGCAAAGGAGGAGACAGAUAACAUGACUUGGUAACCAUUGGAUUGCAAAGUGAGGGACGCCCGGGUUUCAGCUUUGAGAAGCAGAUUGGUCAGGGAGGUCACAAGUUGGUGUGGCUGUUGAGAAUGUAGUUGGAGAUGUUGCUCUCAGCUCAUCAGAGAGGUCUGGAUGGACGUAUAGGUUGGAGAGUCAUCGUGCAUAAUACAGGUGGUAGUUGAAUCCUUAGGCAUAAUGACCUCGUUUC